CCUACGGGAGGCAGCAGUGGGGAAUAUUGGACAAUGGGCGAAAGCCUGAUCCAGCCAUGCCGCGUGUGUGAAGAAGGCCUUCGGGUUGUAAAGCACUUUCAGUGGGGAAGAAAGCCUUGGGGCUAAUACCCUCGAGGAAGGACAUCACCCACAGAAGAAGCACCGGCUAACUCCGUGCCAGCAGCCGCGGUAAUACGGAGGGUGCGAGCGUUAAUCGGAAUUACUGGGCGUAAAGCGCGCGUAGGCGGUCUGAUAAGCCGGUUGUGAAAGCCCCGGGCUCAACCUGGGAACGGCAUCCGGAACUGUCAGGCUAGAGUGCAGGAGAGGAAGGUAGAAUUCCCGGUGUAGCGGUGAAAUGCGUAGAGAUCGGGAGGAAUACCAGUGGCGAAGGCGGCCUUCUGGACUGAAACUGACGCUGAGGUGCGAAAGCGUGGGUAGCAAACAGGAUUAGAUACCCCGGUAGUC
rnacentral:rRNA from 1 species